GUCCUUUUGGGAACAUCUGAUAAAGUUGUGACUAUACAGAAAAGAUUAGCAUGACCCUAUAAAUGGAUGACACAACAAAUCGGGAAAUUGUCCCAUUCACA